GUGACCAUUUACCUUCCUUAUCAACAGACGUGUUUUAUUUAUAAGUCUUAUCAAGGAGUAUGGCAACCAAUUCCAGUUAUUGUGAUUUUUGUGACAAUCUUCAGAUUAAUGAACAUUCAGUAGUAUGGUGUUCUGAAUGUGAUGAAGGGCCCAAUGAAGAGUGUAAGAAUCAUAACUCUGAUUCCAAGGCGUCAAAAAGCCAUGAAACCGUUUCUAUUUCCGAAUACAAAAAAAUACCCACCGAAGUCAUAAACAUCGUCCAGACCUGCAAACUUCAUAAUGAGAAAUUCGAACUUUUCUGUAGAGACCACGAUUGUCCAUGCUGUCAGAAAUGUGUGAAUUCUCACAUCGAUUGUAAAAGUUUAACAGACUUAAAUGAACUCACAAAGAACAUCAACACUUCAAACUCCUUUUACGAAUUCGAACAAACCCUGCUGGAAGUCGUCGAUAAUAUUAAACAACUCGGCAUCAACCGGAAAGAAAAUUUGAAAUCUCUGGAAAACAAGAAAAAAGAAAUUGAAGCAGUAAUAAAACAAACUAGGAAAAAUAUAAAUGACCACCUUGAUAGACUUCAGGAUGAUUUGAUUAAAGAAUUAAAGACAGUUGAACAAAAUGAAAGCAGGAAAAUUGAAAAGUUAUUGACUACUCUAAAAAAGAAGGAAAAAGAGAUAAAUAAAGUAAUACAUAACUUUGCCUGUAUCAAACAACAUGCGUCUGAACUUCAAAUAUUUUUAACCAUGAAGGAUAUCGAAAAAGAUAUUGCAGUCGAAGAAAUUUUUUUUCAAUCGAUUACCACAGGUGAAUCCACAAAACAUGUCAAUAUUUCAUUCCAGAUUACUCGGUCUUUACAGCAAAUCUAUGCAGGCGUACAGAAGUUUGGAGAAAUAAUUGUCAGUUUUAAUCAAAGUGAUUUUUCCAUUAAAAAACGAAAGGACAGACAAGCCCAGAUUAUGGUAGCUCUUCCAACCAAAAAUAUUAACAACAUGACUCUAACGUUCCGGAAACGUAUCAGUACAAAGUUGACUAGUAUCUAUGGUUGUUCACUGCUUCCUGGUGAUCGGAUGGUAUUCUCUUGUAAUAAGCAAAAUAAAAUAAGGGUACUCAAGUCUGACGGAUCGAAAGAUUUCGAAAAAAAGAACGAUGGUGACACGUUGGAUGUGGUAUUUAUUGGAGGUGAUUCUAUUGCUGUAACAUACCGCUAUUCACGUCACCUUAACAUUAAUAUAAUCGACCUGAAGAAGCACAAAUUGAAAAAAUCGAUCAACUUAAAUGCAUACUAUAUUGGAGUAGUAUACAAAGACGGACAUUUGCUGUAUUGUAACGGGACAGAAGGAAUAAAGAUGAUCAAUUUGAAUGACGAAACUAUUACCAAUAUAGGCACUACCAUACUUACAGAUUUAGCGUACGUUACAACAUUCGGUGACAGACUGAUCUACACAAACUUUAAAAAUCACAGUGUUACCUGUUGUGAUUAUCAAAGUAACAUACUGUGGAAGUUUUGUGAGAGAAGUGUUCUUCGGACUCCACAAGGUAUCUCUGUAGACAAUGACGGCAAUGUGUAUGUAGCAGGGCAUGACACUGACAAUGUGGUCGUUAUAUCUACGAAUGGACAAUGCUACAGACAACUCAAAUUAAGUGAAGAUGGACUAAUUAGUCCAAGCGCGGUGCAUUACGACACGUCUAACAAUAAAUUGUUAGUUGCAAGUGUUUUCGGUGAAGCGUUUUUGUAUGAUUUUAAAUGAUUUGAAAUAAUUCCGACUUACCUUUUUUAAUAUUUUACAUGAGUUGGAUCAAUAACAAAAUUUAAAAUGAAUUAUUUGAUAUAAGUGUGAUUUGAUAUUUUUAUUCUACAAUGUAUAUGUUAAUUUAGGAUCUUCUUACCUUUCUGGAGCUCCUGAUAGCGCAAAGUGCGGCCCCAAUUGGUAAUUUAAAGAAAAUUUUGCCUUUUUUGUUAUUAUCUUGAAUAUUAUUAUACUUAGAGAUAAACUGUAAACAUCAAUAAUGUUAAACAAAAUAAGAUCUACAAAAAAGUCAUCAUGAACAAAAUGGUCAGUUGAUCCCUUAAGGGGUUAUGACCCUUUUUAGUCAUUUGUUUACAUUUUUCAUAAUUUAUGACAAAUUUAACAAAAUCAUUUCCACUGUUACUACUGGUCCAAGUUCAUUAUAGAUAUAGAUAAUUGUAAGCAGCAAGAACGUUCAGUAUAGUAACACUAUUCUGUUAUCAAUCCAUAUGUGUAUUUUGUUUAAUAUGCACAUAUACCAAGGUGAGCCACACAGGCUCUUUAGAACCUCUAGUUCUAUGUUGCAUUUACAAUUAUUUGAUUUUUGAUUUUAUUGUUGUUUUGUUUUGCCAUGGCGCUGUCAGUUAAUUUAUUUGAUUUUAUUUAUUUAGGUAUCUUUGCCUCCGUUACUAAAACAAUCGUAAUGCUUAAAAUACUAUUACUUUGAAUCACAAUGUUUGUAUUAGGUUGAAGGUCAAAAGAGAUAAAAAGAUCCUCUACCCAUAGCAUAUUAAAACCAAACUGUAAUGAAUGCAAAUAAAGAUAAC